UCCUUGUUUCUGUCCUUUCAUUUUUUCUUUUUGCAGGCGGCGGUGGAGGGUCAAUGACAAAGGGAGAAGCAUGCCCUUGCCAUUUUGGUGAAACGGCGGCAAAGGCGUUAGGCCUUGGGCAGGGAGCAGGCUAACGUGGGGUGUGGCGCAGAGGGCUAGGGUUUUUUUGUUUUUUCUAAAAACUUAGUUUAGAUUGUGUGAGCCAUUAGUUUUUUUUUUUUUUUGGGACAUUUGUAAUUAGAUUUUAUUAUUAUUUUUUAUUUGUUUGAGCCGGGCAAAAUUGGGCUCCUACAAUAUUUAUAAGUUUUUUCCAUCAAAUCAUCAGUGUACAAUAAUUAAACCAAUAUUUAAAUGAGAAAUAUAUGAG
rnacentral:lncRNA from 1 species